AAAAACAAACAAACAAACAAACAAACAAACCAAGGAAGGUCACGUGAUGAGUCACGUGGCCGGGUUCUUUGCGCACCAAAAAGGCGAGCGCUCACCAGUCGCCCUCCUCUGCCUCGUUUUCUCCCGCCAUCCUCUCUGUCUUCCUCCCCUCCUCCUAAAUGCCAAGCGUACAGUUACCUUACCCCAUUACUCAAUGACAUUUUUAUGUGUCCCAAAUUUCCACGAAAUCCUUUGUUAUUUUUCUUCGAAAUAUAUUGAAUUUCUCUCAAUCCAAGACCCAUUUGUUCUGGGCAGCAUUUCCUUCUGCAGGAUACAAGGCCCUAUUCAGUUCAUAGAGACUAUUUUCGGAUCAUGGGUUCACAGGAUCCUGUUCUGGUGGCUGACAAGGCUAAUGUAACGGAGGCCUCAGUGCGCGGAUGACCCAUGCAUGAGAAGAAUGAGAUCAGAGAGGAGGAUAAUUCUGCUGGCAGAGUCUCCUGCUGACGAUCACCACGAAUGGCUUACUUAUUGGAUUUAAUUUGCUCUGAUUACACUGUUUGAACUGAUAACCAUUGCCAAAGCCAUUGAGUGGUAAUUCUUUUUCUUUUUCAAAAUGUAGUUCCUAUGUUUUAUUUCACUUAUUUAUAUAUGGGUUUGCAUUGAAUGUGAUCAAA